rnacentral:rRNA from 1 species
GACGAACGCUGGCGGCGUGCUUAACACAUGCCAGUCGAACGGAAAGGCCCUGCUUUUGUGGGGUGCUCGAGUGGCGAACGGGUGAGUAACACGUGAGUAACCUGCCCUUGACUUUGGGAUAACUUCAGGAAACUGGGGCUAAUACCGGAUAGGAGCUCCUGCUGCAUGGUGGGGGUUGGAAAGUUUCGGCGGUUGGGGAUGGACUCGCGGCUUAUCAGCUUGUUGGUGGGGUAGUGGCUUACCAAGGCUUUGACGGGUAGCCGGCCUGAGAGGGUGACCGGCCACAUUGGGACUGAGAUACGGCCCAGACUCCUACGGGAGGCAGCAGUGGGGAAUAUUGCACAAUGGGCGGAAGCCUGAUGCAGCAACGCCGCGUGCGGGAUGACGGCCUUCGGGUUGUAAACCGCUUUCGCCUGUGACGAAGCGUGAGUGACGGUAAUGGGUAAAGAAGCACCGGGUAACUACGUG